rnacentral:rRNA from 1 species
GUCUACGGCCAUACCACUCUGAACGCACCCGAUCUCGUCUGAUCUCGGAAGAUGGAUGAGGAGAAAGUACUUGCCACUGAUA